rnacentral:lncRNA from 1 species
CGAGACCAACUAGGUAGAAGAAAACACAAAAUUAAUUGAAACAAGAAAACUAAAAGUCCCUCUGUCCAGUCAAAAUUAAUGAAACUGCCAUCCACCACUCCACAAAUCUCACAUUAUUGCUGUCAGUUGCAAUUCUUCGGAGAAGCUACUUUUCAUCAGAAUCGUCUAUCUUCUUCUCUAAUAGCAUGAAAGACCUUAGAGAUUCUCAGCUAGGUUCACGAUCCCCCUGCCUUCCCAGUCCCAACGAAGUGACGGUGUAAGAAGGCACACUUUGUUCCAGGUAAAACUACUCUUCUCUCUUUAAACUCUCUAUGGCAAUAAUGUGAGCUGUUUGAUUUACCCAUCUAGGAAUAUGCUUAAACCAGAUCUUAUUAAAUUGACCAUUAAUCUGGUGUAUUUCUCUAAUAUAAGCUCCUAUUUUUGACUUGUCUUCAACAUCGGCCUGGCAUUUCUUUAUAAUUAUUAAUGCAUCUUCCUCAAUUUCUACUUCUCCCACACCCAUGGUUAUCCCUAACCUAACUGCAUUAUGUACCUCAUGGGUAUUAGAGUCAAUUAUUGAGUCAAGUAAUAAUUUGUAUGCGCUCCUAACUAAAAACUUGCCUGAAGAUUAACCUUUCCACACUAACAGAUCAUCGUAUUCCACCGUGGCCAGAGUGAUCGGCAAAAUUCUAUCUGCAUCUUCAACGAAAAAGGUAUCUCGGAUCACAUCUUCUUUCCAAGAUCUAUACAAGCUGUCAAUUAAUUCUACGACUCUAGUUUUUCCAUUACCACGAACAAAACCACUGAUUUUGUAAUUAAUAGAUCCAAGGAUCCAAGCAUCCUGCACAACAUUGAUUUUGUCACCCUUGCCCACUCUCCAACAAAGGUCUAUCUCCAGAAGGCCCUUAAUGGCUCAAAUACUUUACCAAAUAUACCACAGUAAUUCCCCAACCUAACAUUCAAAAAAUACUCUUCAAAUAGUAUUUUUCUUUUAAAACCCGUGCUAAUAAAGAAUUUGGAUAAUGUAUAAGACGCUAACCUUGCUUUGCUAAAAAUGCUAAGUUGAAUUUAGAUAGGCUGCGAAAACCUAAACCUCCCACCUUUUUCAACUCGCACAACCUAUUCCAUUCACACCAACAGAUACCUCUUUAGCCAUACCCUUUUUUCCACCAAAACCUAAACAUAGUACCCUCUAUUUUAGCACAAAGAAAUUUAGGUAACAAAAAAUACAUCAUAAAGUACGUAGGAAUAGCUCAGAGGCCUGUUUUAAUGAAAACUUCCUUACCCCCUUGAGAUAAAAAUCUCGUUCUCCAACUAUCAGUUCUCUAUUUGAACCGGUCUUUUAAAAUUUGAAAUGCCAAUCUCUUACUUCUCCCAUCCUCAUACUGGAGUCCCUCUAUUUCAUUAGUCCAUAUUCUCUAUGAGGCAUACUUAUGGAAGAAAGUUGUGUUUUUAUCUCCCAACUGUAGCCAAUUUACACGCACUCGCUGCUCCCAAAACAUCUUGUCAUUAUCUAUCUCUGAAUUCAACUUAAUUUUCGUGUCAAGCAACCCGUUCUGAACCCACUCAAGCUUCACAAACAAAUCACUUUUAUCACCACCCCAUAACUUCCAAACCUCUUCCUAAAAAAACUCUUCCAUUACCCACCAUGCCUUAAAACGAAACCGCAUAAUUCUUUGAUGAAUGUCUUGCUCCGUUUGGAUAAGGAGAGGGCAAUGAUUUAAAUACGAGUAGGGUAUAUGUCGUACCAUGAAGUUAUGGAACAAAUUCAACAAUCUUUCGUUAGCCACUCCUCUGUUCAACCUCUCUUUGAUAUUUGUCUCUGAAAGAUUCCACCUUUCCCAUGUAUACCAUGAUCCAAAAUAGUCCACAUCCACUAAGUAAUAGCCCUCUAAAACUCCUCUAAACAUUUCCAUCCUCCUCUCAUCCCUAGGAGCACCCCACUUUCUCAAAGGAGUACAAGAUUUCGUUAAAAUCCCCACAUGCCACUCGCAGGGAAUCCUGUAAGGUCCUCAAUAACUUUAAAAUCCUCCAUAAAUCCUCUCUUUUUCUAUCAUAAGGAGCCUUAUAAAACCAUGUGAAAUGCCAUUGUAAAUUACUCUUAGACUCUUAAACAUCCAUAUCAAUAUAAUACGCUGAGUAACUUAUAAGGGAGAUAGUGCUAUUACCUUUCCAAGCUAUGGUUAAAACACCUCGCAAACCAUUCGUAGAAACAUCGAACCCAUUAAAGUAACCAAAUCGCCUUUGAACAUUCUCCAUUCUUUUAUCAUUCAAUUUAGUCUAAAUAAAUAAGACUAUCUAGAGAUUAUACAUCUUUAGCAAAUGCUGAACCCUUCUAACUACCUGUAGCCUCCCCAAACCACGGACAUUCCAACUUAAGAUUUUCAUUGUGACCGGCCAACUUACCUCUUGGCAACCACCGAUAGAAAAUGGGCUCUCCCCAUUGGUUUUUCCUCCCUCACCACUAUCACAUCUUCUAUUCCACUAAAACUUUGAGUUUUCCUUCACCAUUGUUAAUCGGCAUCUCAUCCGCAUCGAACUCCAUGUUAGCCUUACCUCAUUCCUGUUCCUGGCCUAGAUUUUUGUUACCCAUUCCAAGUUAAGUCCUAAUAUAGGAUCCAACCGCACUCCCAAACCUCUACAAAUCCCUUCUUGAGAUCUAUUCCCCAUAUUCGAUUGUUGAAUAUUACCCCCAAAUCUGCCCCCAUCACUAUCUUCUAUCAACCACACACUCUGCAUAGCAACAACUCUCCUAAACUAUGCAUGAAGGGAUAUAUCCCAUCCUAACUCGAUAGACUCUUUUCCUUUUGGCAUCUUGAUUUGAUAGAAGGAGUUAUUGUGCCCAAGGUGACCACAGUAAAAGCAAAACAUAGUUAAUCUCUAAUAUUUGAAACUGACAUAAGAACAGUUUCUCGAUGCAAAAAUAAUCUUUUUCUUCCACUUCAAAGGCCUCCUAACAUCCAACUGAACCUUGACCUGAAGAAAGUUUUGUACACCCUUACUUAGAUUCUUCGAAUCAUAUUCUAAUAACUUGCCUAAAAAUUAUCCCAAUCGUCGCACAACAACCUCUGAGAAAAAACUCAUUUGUAACUCACGAACUUGGACCCAAAAAUUAACAAAAAUUAAUGGAACCUUCAUCGGAUCUUUCCCUUCCCCCAAUCGAUGGAACACUAAGAGGUGGUUAUUAAAAGUCCACAAUGCAUCAUUUAAAACUCGAUCCAAAUCCAACAUAUGAAAUAAUUUACAAAUAAAUCUUUUAUCAUGCAAAUUUGAUAUCUGAACUCCUCUAACAGGAUGCUAGACAUUCGUUAUUGUGCUUUUCAUAGCAGGAUAAUGUACUAUACUCACCGUCAGAAAACAACCAACCAAACUAAAAUUAUUUUCCACCACAUGAGAACUGGGAUCUCUUUAAAUCAGCAGACCCUCAUCUUCAACAUCUUCCAAAGAAAGAUAUGCUAACUCAUUUUCCAUUUUUGUAAGCCAAAAAACUCAGAUCCACUCCACCAAAUAAAUAAAAAACUGUUUCCAAAAGAAUAAAAAAGAAAAUUCAUAACGAAAAAAUCCAAAGAAAAUAGACAUAGGCAUGCUUGCAUAGCAGACACAGACAUGUUAGAAUAGCAUACUUCUCAUCAACUCCAUAUAAGAAUAAGCUUUUUUAAUCAAAUUCAAAAUCGCGUAAUGAAUUUAAUUUGCACGAUAUGAAAAUUUGAAUAAAUACAACUUUUGUUUUUACUUUUCUUUCAAUUUAGACCCCACACUAAGGUUUAGACUCAUAAUCAAAUACACAAAUCCGCCACCUCGAGUUGUUCAACAAUGAUGGUUAUCAAAGUAUCCACAACCCUCUGGGAAUUGGGGCUCAUAAUAAUAAAACCUGAUCAAGUUGAACUUUUCUCCCUCGACCCUCUGGUAAUUGAGGAAUUCUAAAUAAUCUAAUGUAAAGACUCUAUGACGUACCAACUAUAUCUUAUCUAGUCGAACUUAGUGAAAUGGGGGUAAAAACCAAAUUUUAUGAUCCAUUUUCAUAUAAUUCUCAUUUCAAUUUUGUUUUAUGUUCAAAUCACAUAUCGCCUAAUAUAAAAUUAGGCUUCCAAUUCAAAACAUAUUAAACAUUUUCUUGCUCAACCAUCUAAAUUCAUAAUACUCAAAUUCAAAUCAUAACCAUGAAUUUGCUAAUUUAAUCAUUUGAAAAAUAUAGUGUUCAUCUUGAAACCUAAUUUUAUAAAUAUUAACUAAAUCAUUCAAACUCAUCCAAAACUCAUAAAAAUAGAAUAAAAUUAAUAUAACUAGCCAUAGUAAACUAAAUAUUCUAAAGCUUUAUGUCAUGAAAAUAAUAUAUUAGCAUAAAUCGAAGUUUCAAUUGCUUUACUCCUUUUUGCCUUUCUCCUUCAAGAUACUUGCUUCAUUUUUAGUUACAAUAGGAGCAAUUCAAUACAAAAAAUGUCAUUUAUCCAUUCUAAUACUAAAACUAAUAAAAACAAACUUAAAUAUGAAUGGUUAAUCAAGUUGACAACUUAAGUUUCCUAGUUUGAAAUUCGCAUAUCUUUCGAUUUGAUUAUCCGUUUUCAUUUUCUUCUUCACCACAUACUCACUGUUUCACAAGCUAUCAUUUAGCACCAAUAUUACACAAAGUAGCCAAGGUGAUUUCCUCUUCACCAUGACCAAAUGUACCACGUAAACUUUCUAUCCAUUUUUGUUUCUUCUUCACACUUCUAACAAGCUAGAAUUCAUCUUCUAAUCAUUUCCUAUAAAAAAAAUGUACCUAUUUCACUUACGUUUUCUAAGCUUCCAUUAAUAUCCUUUAAUGGAAACUUUCAAUAUACUUGAUAAAAUAAAAAAACUAUUGGUACAUAUAUGUAAAAUAAGCUUCAAAGAUUCAAAAUCUAUGAAAAGUUUUAAGAAAAACCAUAUCUUAUGCUUGAAUUUGAAGGAAAAUGAUGAAAUAAUUUUUUUCUUCUUCUUUCCCCAACUUUCGUGAAUAAGAAAGAAACAUAAAGAAAUAUGUUCUUCUUCUUUUAUUUAUAUCAUAAUAAUACUUAAUAAGAUACUAAUAUUUUAAAUAAAAUAUUAAAUAAUAAUUAUUUAAUAAAAUUAUCAUUUAAAAGCCAUAAUGAAACCAUUGAUUUUUUUAAGUAAUGGUAAAAUUGCCAUUAAGUCAUUUCUAUCAAAAUAAAAAUAGGACAAUUGCACUUUAGUCUAUAUACUUUUCCAAUUUAUUCAAUUUAUUCCCUGAGCUCGAUACCAGAUUUUUAACUUAACUACAUGCUCCUACUAAUAAUUUUCUCUGUUUUCAUAUCAGAUAGUUUUCUUUAAAAACGAUCACAAUUUCUUAUACUACUAUUUAUUUAUAGAUCACUUAUUCAAGGACUUCUACCAUAAAUAUUCUUUUUUUAAAGUGGGGAUGUUAUAGAAGAUGUUUGAAAACUAAUGUCAUUUGUAAGAAAAUUGUAACAGCUCGAGUUUUAGUGGUGACAGAACAAUGGUUUUGGGACCAUAAAUUUCCAUCGUGUCAACUCGUAAAUAUUAUUUUAAGAAUAUUUAUAGAUUCAUUAGAUUCAUAUUAAAAUUUGGUUAAGAAAUUUUAACGUUUAGAUAGUUAAUUAUAGAAAAAGGACUAAAUUGAAAAGGGUGUAAAAUGUGGUAAUUAUAACAUUUUGGUGAUUUAAGGGCUUAAUUAUUAAUUAUAAAGGAAAAAUGUAGUACAUAGCCCUUAUUAUUGACAUUGGACGGCAUUAUGUAUUAAAAUUAUAAAAUAUUACAUGUUUUAAUUGCAAAAUGGUAAAUUUUAUGAAAUAAAAAUAAAAUUAAAUUAAGAAAAAUACAUUUCUUAUUCAUCUAUUAAAUUCAUCUUGCCAAAACACCAUAAGAACUUAACUUCGAGGUUCGACCAUUGUUAAAUCUUGCAUGUAAGUCCAUUUUGAUUCUAUUUUUUGUAAUUUUUAUGUUUUUGAGAUUAUUACAAUUAGGUCCAGCUAGCCCGUACCUUCGAUUUUGAAUCUGUUAAAAAUGUUAGAAGUUUCCAUUAAUUAAUCCUGAAUUUUGUUUAGGAUAACCAUGUAUUUGAAGCUUUGGUUGUGUUGUUUGAUUAUUUUGUGAAGUGAUUUUUGUUAAAUUUUGAUUUUAGAAUUAAAUUGUGAAAGUGUCAAAAUUUUAGCGUUUGAUAGUGAAUUUGAUGUUUAGUAGGGACUGUAUAAAGGCCUAGUAUAUUCGACUAUAAUUUUGACUUGAGAAAAAUAGUUAAUUGGAUGAUUUUCGGGUUAAUGGAUUAAUUUACAAAAAUUAUAAAAGUUUGGGGUAAUUGUGUAAAUUUAGAAAAUAAAAGGGUAUUAAAUGUAAAAUGAAUUGGAAUGUGAAAUGUAAGCUGAUAAUUGAGAAAUUUUAUAUUUUAGAUCAAGACCCAGUUGAUACUCGUGGGAAAGGAAAAAUUAUGGAAUAGUCCUUGAACCUCUAUAACUAUGACAAUUCAGUCCAAGUAAGUUUGUUUGGUUUAAAAUUUAACAUCUAUAUGAGUUUUUAAAUAAUAUAAAAUGGUACAAUAGAUAUAUUUAUAUUAUUGAUGAUGAAAGGUUAUUUGAGAAAUAUUAUUGAAUUUGAUGUUUGGAUCGAAUUGAACGUAGGGUAGAGUACAAUCGAGAAAUGGUAUGUUAUAGGGGAUUGGAGUGAAGAUUUUUGUGGAGACUGUUUCCCGAGUGGGUUGAGGUUUAACAUUUUUUUGAGAACUCUCAUGUUAUACUCUCUGUUUUGGUGUGUUUCGGUUGGACUAGCUCUUAUGAGCAUUGGUGUGUUUCGAAAGGAUUAGCUCUUAUAAGCAUUGGUGUGUUUCGGAUGGAUUAGCUCUUAUGAGCAUCUGGUGUGGUUUGGUUGGAUUGUCGAUGUACUCUUAUCCGUAAGUCGUUCAUCGAAUUGAAAAUCUCGGUAAGGUAACUUGUUGAGUGAUUUUGAUGGAUUUUCAAUAUAUUUGUGUAUUAAAUUGAACAUUUAUGAUUUAUCGAUUGAGAUUGUGGAUUAUAGGGAUCAUUCAAGGUUGUAUUCAUAUUACUAUUUCAAUUGUUGUACUUACUUCGGUAAUAUUUAUCAUUUUAAUACAUCAAACUUACUAAGCUUCAUUGAGUUUACUUGUGUUAAUUAUUGUUCUUGUAGAUGCUCGGAAGGUUGGACAAUCGGGUCGGCACUCAAGUUACACUAUCCAUAAAUUUUGGUAGUUUUUGGAACGUUUAUUUUGGAUUAUAUGGCAUGUAAUAGGCUUUUGUGUCAUUAUUAUUUGUUUUGGAUAUGUAAAACGUUAGGUAUGAUCUUAAAUGCUAAAUGUUAACUUAUAUGAUACAUGUGUAUGAGGUAAAUUAUUUUGGAUGCAAAUAUGAAUGUUAUAUGUUAAAGUAAUGUUGUGUUGGAGGUGUUUAUUAUAGGUACAUUGGUUAGGUGUUAGAUUUGGUGAAUUAAUAAGUUAUGAUUAAUGUUUCAUGUUGAUGUAUAUUUGUAUAUACUUGUGGUAUCAAUAAGGAUACAUUAGUUAGAGAAUUAGGAGGUUGAUUUGGCAUGUUUUUGGGCUUGUUUAAUGUCAAUUUUAAUAGGUAUUUUGGUUGGUAAAUGUAUUACGUAGAGUUCAAGUAAGUCUGAAAUGGUAAACUUGUUGUUUAAGGUUCAUUUUGGGUCCACACAGCUUGAGACACGGGCGUGUGGCUCAACCGUGUGAGACACACGGCCUGGCGACAUGACCAUGUGUUAUCUGAUGAGUUUUUG